rfam:Pelodiscus sinensis unplaced genomic scaffold scaffold104, whole genome shotgun sequence.
AAGCUGCUCCUGGUGCCCCUGGUCUGUUGGGGACCGUCUCCAGCAGACCAGGGGCAUCGGGAGCAAAGCAGCAGCCCCGGCAGAUUUGCUCGCGGUGCCCCUGGUCUGCUGGAGACCGUCUCCAGCAGACCAGGGGCACCGCGAGCAAAGCGG